ACCUUAAAAGGUACUACCAUUGGG
rnacentral:siRNA from 1 species